rnacentral:rRNA from 1 species
UGGGGAAUAUUGCACAAUGGGCGAAAGCCUGAUGCAGCAACGCCGCGUGAGUGAUGAAGGCCUUCGGGUUGUAAAGCUCUGUCUUUUGGGACGAUAAUGACGGUACCAAAGGAGGAAGCCACGGCUAACUACGUGCCAGCAGCCGCGGUAAUACGUAGGUGGCAAGCGUUGUCCGGAUUUACUGGGCGUAAAGGAUGCGUAGGCGGAUUUUUAAGUGAGAUGUGAAAUACCCGGGCUUAACUUGGGUGCUGCAUUUCAAACUGGGAAUCUAGAGUGCGGGAGAGGAGAAUGGAAUUCCUAGUGUAGCGGCGAAAUGCGUAGAGAUUAGGAAGAACACCAGUGGCGAAGGCGAUUCUCUGGACCGUAACUGACGCUGAGGCAUGAAAGCGUGGGUAGCAAACAGGAUUAGAUACCCUGGUAGUCCACGCCGUAAACGAUGAGUACUAGGUGUAGGAGGUAUCGACCCCUUCUGUGCCGCAGUUAACACAAUAAGUACUCCGCCUGGGAAGUACGAUCGCAAGAUUAAAACUCAAAGGAAUUGACGGGGUC